CUCUCCAGGAACAGGGUUGGGCAGUCCUGGUCUAGGUUAACAUUUUUACAUGUUUCCAUGUCGAUGACACCUUAACGGUUUUCUCUGUAUUUGUACGUCAUAACAUAUAUUUUGAAAUCAUGCUUUUAUCAUUGUUGGAUCUGUUACCUGUCUUGACUAUUAUCAUGACUGUUGGCCAUUGUUGUCGACUCAAGCGCUACUGUGGGGAUUUUGCUGAAUCACUACCUGGUUGUGGUUUCUAUGGGAACAAAAAGUAUUAAUGUCAGGUUAAUAAAUAAUGUGAUUAACUCUG